CACUAGGCGAAAUUUUUCGACCGAAUCGAAAUUUCUCUUUGUUUCAUGAGCUCUCGAGCAGAACUAAUUGUAAAAAGACAAAGAGAAAUUUCGUUUCGGUCAAAAAAUUCCGCCUCGUGGAAUCAGGCCUUAAAACACCACAGGAGUACAUACGAGUAACAUACGAGUAACACACAAGUACAUACGAGUACAUACGAGUAACACACGAGUACAUACGAGUACAUACGAGUAACAUACGAGUAACACACGAGUGCAUAUGAGUAAAACACAAGUACAUACGAGUACAUACGAGUAGAAUACGAGUACAUACGAGUAGAAUACGAGUAGUAAACUUGUUUUUAGUGUUUGUAGAUUGAAUACAGGCAAAAAGAUCGUCUUCUCUGUCGAAAAACGUGGAAUGGAGGAACGGGG